GAUGAACGCUGGCGGCGUGCCUAAUACAUGCAAGUCGAGCGAACGGACGAGAAGCUUGCUUCUCUGAUGUUAGCGGCGGACGGGUGAGUAACACGUGGAUAACCUACCUAUAAGACUGGGAUAACUUCGGGAAACCGGAGCUAAUACCGGAUAAUAUUUUGAACCGCAUGGUUCAAAAGUGAAAGACGGUCUUGCUGUCACUUAUAGAUGGAUCCGCGCUGCAUUAGCUAGUUGGUAAGGUAACGGCUUACCAAGGCAACGAUGCAUAGCCGACCUGAGAGGGUGAUCGGCCACACUGGAACUGAGACACGGUCCAGACUCCUACGGGAGGCAGCAGUAGGGAAUCUUCCGCAAUGGGCGAAAGCCUGACGGAGCAACGCCGCGUGAGUGAUGAAGGUCUUCGGAUCGUAAAACUCUGUUAUUAGGGAAGAACAUAUGUGUAAGUAACUGUGCACAUCUUGACGGUACCUAAUCAGAAAGCCACGGCUAACUACGUGCCAGCAGCCGCGGUAAUACGUAGGUGGUAAGCGUUAUCCGGAAUUAUUGGGCGUAAAGCGCGCGUAGGCGGUUUUUUAAGUCUGAUGUGAAAGCCCACGGCUCAACCGUGGAGGGUCAUUGGAAACUGGAAAACUUGAGUGCAGAAGAGGAAAGUGGAAUUCCAUGUGUAGCGGUGAAAUGCGCAGAGAUAUGGAGGAACACCAGUGGCGAAGGCGACUUUCUGGUCUGUAACUGACGCUGAUGUGCGAAAGCGUGGGGAUCAAACAGGAUUAGAUACCCUGGUAGUCCACGCCGUAAACGAUGAGUGCUAAGUGUUAGGGGGUUUCCGCCCCUUAGUGCUGCAGCUAACGCAUUAAGCACUCCGCCUGGGGAGUACGACCGCAAGGUUGAAACUCAAAGGAAUUGACGGGGACCCGCACAAGCGGUGGAGCAUGUGGUUUAAUUCGAAGCAACGCGAAGAACCUUACCAAAUCUUGACAUCCUUUGACAACUCUAGAGAUAGAGCUUUCCCCUUCGGGGGACAAAGUGACAGGUGGUGCAUGGUUGUCGUCAGCUCGUGUCGUGAGAUGUUGGGUUAAGUCCCGCAACGAGCGCAACCCUUAAGCUUAGUUGCCAUCAUUAAGUUGGGCACUCUAAGUUGACUGCCGGUGACAAACCGGAGGAAGGUGGGGAUGACGUCAAAUCAUCAUGCCCCUUAUGAUUUGGGCUACACACGUGCUACAAUGGACAAUACAAAGGGCAGCGAAACCGCGAGGUCAAGCAAAUCCCAUAAAGUUGUUCUCAGUUCGGAUUGUAGUCUGCAACUCGACUACAUGAAGCUGGAAUCGCUAGUAAUCGUAGAUCAGCAUGCUACGGUGAAUACGUUCCCGGGUCU
rnacentral:rRNA from 1 species